GCAUUUUCUGUUACAGUACAGUAAUUUGACAUAAAUUGACACAUUCAUUAUAUUUGGGGGUGUUGGAGGUAUUUGGUUUUGAAUGAAGAUUAUAUGCUGUCUUUCAAACCUGUUCAGUCCCAAAAGCUGAAUCUGCAAAUUAUUUUAUCACAAUGUCAUGUUACCUGUCUAUGACAUUUCCCCUGGUUACAACUACCGUCAGACUGUGGGGACAAGACAAUCUUCAGUGCUUUGGUGGGGACAGCUGGGACUGAAAGUGGUGGAAUAGGGUUCCUCCAGGGCUAAAAAGUCAGGCAAAUUCUCCCUUUAAGAAGAGAGGCUGGCAUGUUACAGAACACUAGUAUGAUUUACCCUCUAUGGACAUAUUGAACAUCU